rnacentral:misc_RNA from 1 species
AACGCAUAUUGCACCCAUCAGCAUUCUGAUGGGUAUGCCUGUUCGAGCGUCAUUUCAACUCUUAAGCCUUUGUUGCUUAGCGAUGGGAGUUUACUAGAUGUGUCUCGUAACUUCUGAAAGAUAGUGGCAGAGCUGGCUUCAUGCUCUAGACAAAGUAGAUUAUCUUGUCUGCAGUUGGGCUGGUGUCUGGCCAUAAAAUACCUACUUCUCAAGGUUGACCUCGGAUCAGGUAGGAAUACCCGCUGAACUUAA